rnacentral:rRNA from 1 species
UACAGAGGGGGCAAGCGUUGUUCGGAAUUACUGGGCGUAAAGGGCGCGUAGGCGGCCGCCUAAGUCAGACGUGAAAUCCCUCGGCUUAACCGGGGAACUGCGUCUGAUACUGGAUGGCUUGAGUUUGGGAGAGGGAUGCGGAAUUCCAGGUGUAGCGGUGAAAUGCGUAGAUAUCAGGAGGAACACCGAUGGCGAAGGCAGGUCACUGGGCCGCAACUGACGCUGAGGAGCGAAAGCAUGGGGAGCGAACAGG